ACAUGCUGUAUGUUGCUUCUGCUCGCCACUCUCUGCUUCCAGCUACUGCCACCGGACAGCCCUUUGUUUUCAGGGCUGAAAGAGGAGCCGAGUGUGUGUCGCCUCCUCUGCCGGUACAUAGCCUCUCACACUGCCAAGACCUGGUACACGCCUCCCCGUGGCACACAUGGGAACUGGUCCCUUGUGGUUCCAGGCUAAGUUGUACAGGAUCUCGGAGCAGCAGUGGGCCCCAGAGACGUGGCAUGCAGGCGCAUCGGUGAGUAGAAACGCCCUGAUGCCCGUCAACCACUGCCCCAGCUAUGGACAAAUAGCCCCAGCUAUGGGUAAAUAGUGAAGACCCCAACAGAUGUUGGUGUGAGAACCACCACAACGCCUGGGAAGGAGGAACACGGCACCCCCACAGCCACGUGGGUUAAAUCGGGAGGGUACAGCGGCUAAGGGAGAAAACCCUGUGGAAAUGUGUAGCAGAGGCGAUGAUGAGAUGACUGUGAUCACCUGGCCGGUCCUCCCAGACUGUUUAACCCCCGCCUGCCCGAGACCAGGAGGCUGCAUUCUACCGAUGGCGCACCAACAUGUUUUCUCUCUGUUAACUACUGACAACAUGCACCUCACAUUCUCCAUCACAUCCAUCCACCAACAUUCAUCACUGAUACUGACAAUCACACCUCAUCGUGCUCUUGUUUGCAUCAUUAUUUAAUAAAUGUCACUUAUUAUUGUCA